ACUGCCCCUAGAGGCAUUGCAGGUGUGGCUGCCGUGUCCUGUCUGUCAUUAGGUGGCAGAGAGGAGAGAGGCUCCCUAUGUCCAGCAUCCUGGUUGGGGAUGUCUGGAUGGUUGAUAGCCUGACACU